GAUGAACGCUGGCGGCGUGCCUAAUACAUGCAAGUCGAGCGGACAGACAAUGAGCUUGCUCCUCUGACGUUAGCGGCGGGCGGGUGAGUAACACGUGGAUAACCUACCUCUAAUACUGGGAUAACAUCGGGAAACCGGAUCUACUACCGGAUCACAUGUUGAACCGCAUGGAUCAGCAGUGAAUGACGGUCUGGCUGUCACUUAUAGAUGGAUCCGCGCCGCAUUAGCUAGUUGGUAAGGUAACGGCUUACCAAGGCAACGAUGCGUAGCCGACCUGAGAGGGUGAUCGGCCACACUGGAACUGAGACACGGUCCAGACUCCUACGGGAGGCAGCAGUAGGGAAUCUUCGGCAAUGGGCGAAAGCCUGACGGAGCAACGCCGCGUGAGUGAAGAAGGUCUUCGGAUCGUAAAACCCUGUUAUUAGGAAAGAAAAACUGUGUAUGAAAAUAUGCACGUUUUGACGGUACCUAAACAGAAAGCACCGGCUAACUACGUG
rnacentral:rRNA from 1 species